AUACGGAGGAUCCGAGCGUUAACCGGAUUUAUUGGGUUUAAAGGGUGCGCAGGCGGCCAUUUAAGUCAGCGGUUAAAUCGUGGGGCUCAACCCCAUUCUGCCGUUGAUACUGGGUGGCUUGAUUGCGGUCGAGGUUGGCGGAAUUCGUUGUGUAGCGGUGAAAUGCAUAGAUAUGACGAAGAACACCGAUUGCGUAGGCAGCUGACCAGACCGCAAAUGACGCUCAUGCACGAAAGUGCGGGGAUCGAACAGGAUUAGAUACCCUGGUAGUCCGCACAGUAAACGAUGAAUACUUGUUUUCGGCGAUAUAAUGUCGGAGGCAAAGCGAAAGCGAUAAGUAUUCCACCUGGGGAGUACGCCGGCAACGGUGAAACUCAAAGGAAUUGACGGGG
rnacentral:rRNA from 1 species